rnacentral:rRNA from 1 species
CAGUAGCCGCGGGAAUACGGAGGGUGCAAGCGUUAAUCGGAAUUACUGGGCGUAAAGCGCACGCAGGCGGUCUGACAAGUCAGAUGUGAAAUCCCCGGGCUUAACCUGGGAACUGCAUUUGAAACUGUCAGGCUGGAGUCUUGUAGAGGGGGGUGGAAUUCCAGGUGUAGCGGUGAAAUGCGUAGAGAUCUGGAGGAAUACCGGUGGCGAAGGCGGCCCCCUGGACAAAGACUGACGCUCAGGUGCGAAAGCGUGGGGAGCAAACAGGAUUAGAUACCCCUGUAGUCCCUGUCUCUUAUAU